CCCUUAGAUGUUCUGGGCCGCACGCGCGCUACACUGACGGAGGCAGCGAGCGUGUCCUUCGCCGGCAGGUGCGGGCAAUCUUGCGAGUCUCCGUCGUGCUGGGGAUAGAUGGUUGCAAUUGUCGAUCUUGAACGAGGAAUUCCUAGUAAGCGCGAGUCAUCAGCUCGCGCUGAUUACGUCCCUGCCCUUUGUACACACCGCCCGUCGCUACUACAGAGUGCCCGUGUCCAAGAAACGGUCGGACCUGUGCGGCCUCUCCGGGCGACCGGAGGGCCGUUACGGGGAAGACCCUUUACUUGACGCGGGUCGAUGAAGUAAAAGUCGUAACA
rnacentral:rRNA from 1 species